rnacentral:rRNA from 1 species
GGAUCCAGACUUUGAUUAUGNUCAGGACGAACGCNGGCGGGGCGCNUUACACAUGCNAGUCGAGCGGGAAGCUUUUAAGGAUUCUUCGGAUGAAUUAAAAANUGAGAGCGGCGGACGGGUGAGUAACGCGUGAGAAACCUGCCCUAUACAGGGGGAUAGCCAUUGGAAACGAUGAUUAAUACCCCAUAUGACCACAGUAUCGCAUGAUACAGCGGUGGAAACUCCGGUGGUAUAGGAUGGUCUCGCGUCUGAUUAGCUAGUUGGUGGGGUAACGGCCUACCAAGGCGACGAUCAGUAGCCGGCCUGAGAGGGUGACCGGCCACACUGGAACUGAGACACGGUCCAGACUCCUACGGGAGGCAGCAGUGGGGAAUAUUGCACAAUGGGCGAAAGCCUGAUGCAGCGACGCCGCGUGAACGAUGAAGGCUUUCGAGUCGUAAAGUUCUGUUCUUGGGGAAGAUAACGACGGUACCCAAGGAGAAAGCACCGGCUAAAUACGUGCCAGCAGCCGCGG